rnacentral:lncRNA from 1 species
GGUAAGUAUGUAGCACUUGAAGAAGAUAUUAGAGGGGCCAGACUAUAAUAGUCAUGAGCAGGAAUAAGCUUGGUGCUAUCUCUUGUUUCUUGUUUAUUUUGUUGUUUUAGGUUUUGAUCAUUGUAAAGUGAAUUUGUGGAAUAAAUCAAAGAUUGUUUUAUAAGAUAUUGAGUAUGUAAUUGGAGUACUAUGUGAUUGAAUUAUUAUGAGAAGAUAUUGGGAGUUUUUUUAUCAGAUUUUGUGGAAGAUUGUUCAUGGAUGGAAGAUUAUGAUUUUUUUUUAUUGAGAGUUGUGUAUGUUUCAAUAAAAGAAGUCUUUAAUUACAAAAAUUGUAUGAAGCCAGAUUGAUUGGAAUGGAAGUCUGUUAUUUUUGGUAUUGGAUGGAACUUAUGUAUUUUGAGUGGUCUUUUGAGAGUGCCGGGUUGCACUUUGUUGUUAAUAGUUGAUGAAGGAGUAUUGUUAAUAAGAGAAAGUAUUGUAGUAUUCUUUGGUGUUUUUAUUUGUUCAAAAUACUAUUAAUUGUGUGACC